ensembl:miRNA
UGAUAUGUUUGAUAUUCGGUUGUUCUCCUGUGUAAUCACAUCAACUAAAUAUCAGACAUAUUCCUA